rnacentral:rRNA from 1 species
UACGUAGGGGGCUAGCGUUAUCCGGAAUUACUGGGCGUAAAGGGUGCGUAGGUGGUUUCUUAAGUCAGAGGUGAAAGGCUACGGCUCAACCGUAGUAAGCCUUUGAAACUGGGAAACUUGAGUGCAGAAGAGGGAAGUGGAAUUCCAUGUGUAGCGGUGAAAUGCGUAGAGAUAUGGAGGAACACCAGUGGCGAAGGCGGCUUCCUGGUCUGCAACUGACACUGAGGCGCGAAAGCGUGGGGAGCAAACAGG